AAACAACUAAUGCAACUGAUAAAUAUCAGUUUUUCGCCUUACUAAUGUGUCAGUUAACAUAGCUAACGUUAGCUAAAAUAAUGGCAGCGUUAGCCACUAUUGCUAGUGUUAGCCAUGCGGAGGUAGUGGAUGGCAUUUGGAUGCCGACUAUAGCCUACUGCCCUUUUUACCAGCAGACUCCUUAUGAUGUCAUUUUUGGCCUCCACACAAAAAUGAAUUCAAGAUUGUUUUUGCUUCAACGAGACAGGUUCAUUUGUGACAUGUUCAGUUAAUAUCACUAUUACCUUAGGGAUAUUAAGCUAAGCUAAAUUUAGUUUUGGAAAGAGCAACAGGAAGCUCAUACUUCGUGUACCAGGCUGGACAAACACAAACACCAGCCAUUGUAUUCGAGAUGGCACCUUGUGUGCGUGUGCGAGCGUUGGCAUUUCUCUCCAAUAAAACGCACCCAGCCACUGGUUGCUGGGUCAAAAGCGGUGAGAUGAAAAGAUGAGACGAUCUCUGACAGCAGUGAUUUAUUUUCACUGACCUUAAGCCGCCAGACCUGUGAAAGUUGACAGAGAAUGGCCUUAAAGACACUCCCGUGGACAAAGCCUCUGGCGCCCUAUUUUAAACCCCCGCCCAUCCACCUCUGUGUGGUGUUGGUGGUGGAGCAGCCUUGGGUGGUGUCCUGGGAGUUCCACUCGCAUGGCGCGAGACCCGCAAGCACCACAAUGAAUCUUCUGGCCGCAAUUUCCAGCGGAAAGUCCGGGGCCAAAGUCACGGUGAAUGAGGGAUUUAGAAACUAAGGAGGGUGGGUGCUACGUGGUUAAGGGGCUCUCCCUCCACCCCCUACCCCACCCACCCCACUCAGCAGCAUCUGCAUGGACGCCGGGGGCCUCAUCACCGUGGAGGGUGAGGUGGUGGAGGUGAAUGUAGUUUAAGCCUACGUUGGUAUGAAUAAGGCAACAGUCCAAGAAGUUUGUGCAAAUUUCCAUAAAAUGGGAAAGCCCAGAUGUUUCUGGGUUUCUGGAGGGAUGCUGCAUUAUGGCGGCUGCAGAUCGGGGCACACGUCAAAGUGUCCCAUCUUCAAGCCGCAAAGGAUCAGACUGCGGUCCACAACCUUUUCCACUAUCGAGGAGGUCCGCUCAGAGGACGUCGUCGUUGUGCACGGGGGCGACGAAGCUCGAGGGAGAUGCAGGGACCCUCAACACCCUCGACUGAAUCAGCAUUCCAAAGAAUAUAUCAAAUGCAUGUCUGUAACUCCCUGUAAUAUUACACCCAUCAAUGAUCAGGGAGCGUUUAGUUAGCUCAGGGUGCAAUUAACACUUCCUCACUGUGGUUUGUAUUGAGAUUUAAUACAGUUCAUAAGUGGUAUUGGAUCCUUGGAUCAAUUCUCUGGGAGAACUCAGUUUUUCUCCUUAUUCCUUGGGUGGGAUUAGUGUAAAGAAUCCUUUUCAGUUUUAUUAAUUUUGUCGUCUUAAAAGAAGAAAAUGGCUGUUUAUACGUGUUCCUCCGGCAUUGUUCUUCAAAUAUCCAAGGACUCAAUUUUACACCAUAUUGUGCAAUAAUUGUAUAUAUCAGCCCCUUGUUCAUGUUUUUCUAGGCCUUCUGUCGUGUUUUACUUCAUUCACCAGGAAACCCAAAGGAGAUUGGUAAGUAAAAUAAAAAUCUAUUUUGCCCCUUUAUUGAAUAUUUUAGUUUACAACAUUACGAUUUUCUUUUUUUCUUUUCUUUUUUUCCCCUGUUGCUUAUAAGAUAAGGUGUUAUCCUGUAUUUACUCCUAGUAGAUAUGGUCAAAUAGCUACAACAACUAUUCAAGUUGUGACGACUCUUAAAUGUGCCAUAUGUGCAAACAGAAAAUAUAUUCAACAUUAAUAAGUUGUUGAGUAAAGAUAAUUCAUUGAUGUGUCCCUGCUCGAGUUGCUCCUCCUCCAUUGUGGCGUGAAGAGCCUGAUAAACUUUUUCCACAACUUAAGUCAAUGUGGUUCUCUCAUUGUUGGAGUCAUUCUCUGAGCUUGCACUCUUCAAAACGAAAAGUAACUGUUGUGUAUUUCUGUUUGGGACGGAAAGCUGUUGGUUCACUACUCCAGAACAACUGAUUGUAUGAAACCCG
ensembl:lncRNA